UACGGAGGGUGCAAGCGUUAAUCGGAAUUACUGGGCGUAAAGCGCACGUAGGUGGUUUGCUAAGUCAGCUGUGAAAUCCCCGGGCUUAACCUGGGCACUGCAGUUGAAACUGGCAAGCUAGAGUGUGGUAGGGGAGACUGGAAUUCCUGGUGUAGCGGUGAAAUGCGCAGAUAUCAGGAGGAACACCGAUGGCGAAGGCAGCUCUCUGGGACGGUACUGACGCUGAGACGCGAAAGCGUGGGGAGCGAACAGG
rnacentral:rRNA from 1 species